UACAGAGAGUGCAAACGUUGUUCGGAAUCACUGGGCUUAAAGCGCACGUAGGCGGCAUCGUAAGUGUCGGGUGAAAUCCCACGGCUCACCCGUGGAACUGCCCGGCAGACUGCGAUGCUAGAGUGUGGUAGGGGAAAGCGGAACUCCUGGUGGAGCGGUGAAAUGCGUAGAUAUCAGGAGGAACACCGGUGGCGAAGGCGGCUUUCUGGUCCACAACUGACGCUGAGGUGCGAAAGCUAGGGGAGCAAACGGGAUUAGAAACCCUGGUAGUCC
rnacentral:rRNA from 1 species